rnacentral:rRNA from 1 species
AUUGAACGCUGGCGGCAGGCUUAACACAUGCAAGUCGAGCGGGGGAAGGUAGCUUGCUACCGGACCUAGCGGCGGACGGGUGAGUAAUGCUUAGGAAUCUGCCUAUUAGUGGGGGACAACAUCUCGAAAGGGAUGCUAAUACCGCAUACGUCCUACGGGAGAAAGCAGGGGAUAUUCGGACCUUGCGCUAAUAGAUGGGCCUAAGUCGGAUUAGCUAGGUGGUGGGGUAAAGGCCUACCAAGGCGACGAUCUGUAGCGGGUCUGAGAGGAUGAUCCGCCACACUGGGACUGAGACACGGCCCAGACUCCUACGGGAGGCAGCAGUGGGGAAUAUUGGACAAUGGGGGGAACCCUGAUCCAGCCAUGCCGCGUGUGUGAAGAAGGCCUUAUGGUUGUAAAGCACUUUAAGCGAGGAGGAGGCUACUCUAGUUAAUACCUAGGGAUAGUGGACGUUACUCGCAGAAUAAGCACCGGCUAACUCUGUGCCAGCCGCCGCCGUAAAAC